CCCCGGCACUUACACCGGCUUUUAGUACUUGAACGACCAGUUUUUGGUUGCAGAAUUGGUCUCCAAACAGCGGCCAAGUGAUCAGUGGAAUGCCUGAGGUGAUUCCUUCGAGAGUCGAGUUCCAUCCACAGUGUGUCAGGAAUCCUCCAACGGAAGGAUGUGAAAGGAUAAGGACUUGAGGUGACCACCCUUUAAUAAGAAGUCCUCUCUCUUUGAUUCUUUCUUCAAAACCGCUCUCCAUCAUCCACUCAUAUAGUUCAUUAUACUUUUCCCAACCUCUUAUGACCCAAAUAAAAGAUCUUUGGGAUUUUUCAAGGCCUAGCCCCAGCUCCUUGAGCUGAGACAAAGGUAGAUUACAGAUACUUCCAAGGCAAACAUAUAACACCGAACCAUCUUCUUUAGAAUCAAGCCAUUGAAGACACUCAUCUUGAUCAAUGGCGGCCUGGUUUCCCCUCUCAGCUUUAUCAGCACCUGCCUUGUUGCACAAGGAAACAGGUCCAAUGGACCAUACUUUUCCAGCCCUAGCCUUCGUGUAGUCUUUGACAUAAGCAGGCUCCAACUCCUGAAAUGUGUUGACGAUCACACCAUAGGAUGUGUAUUCUGCUUCUACCAUUUCGUCCAAGAACGCUUUCCAAUCUCCACUUGCAGUUGUUUCCACUGGAACUUGAGGCUUUGUAAAUUCAACUCUAUCAGGAAAACUAGGAACCAGGAAAUAAUCUUUAUCCGACUUUAAGUUCUUCAAGAUCUCGAGGUUUCUGCGUAGAACAUGCAUACACAAAAGAUUAAAGCAACCCGUGCCGUGGAAAACUAUCUUUGGUAUACUGAAUUUCCUUGCGAUUUUGCUUGUAUAAGGCAAGAGCAAAUCAGAAAUAAUACAGCUAGGUCUAGGUUUCAUCUCUUCCAUGAGCUUCAUGACCGGAUCUUCGAGCAUGUUAACUGCUUGAAAGAAAGGUACCAUCAGCUCCAUUGAGUCAUACGAAUCUAUAUUCUCUUUUCCUUCUGGCAAACCAAAUUCUUGAUAUGGAAAAUUCACAUGCACUAUGUUGAUGGGUAAACCAGACUCCAUGGCACGACUUAAGACAUUCUCGAACCUCCCUGCAUUAUAACGUGUCGUGACAAUAGUUACUGUCGCACCGCGCUGAGCCAAGAGCCUUGCUAUAUCAAUCAUGGGAAUCAUGUGGCCCUGAGCCAUGAAAGGGAAAAGAAUAAAGUGAAGAGGAGGAUGAACUUUGUGGGAUUUUUCGGAAGCCAUACCGGUUCCAACUCAAUGAUGAACUCUCAAGUUUUGUGGUUUUUGGAUUGUGUGUGAUCAUGUGAUCGUGACUUUAUAUAUAGAAGAUGGAUAAGAAUAGUGGUGGUCCAAAUAAGGCUUCAUUGACAUGUGCAAUAGAUUACGUAACAAUGUUGUUGUUGUACAUAAACGGCAGAUGUUAUUACAAGAGGACACCUCAAGGUCAAUACUUUCUUCUGUCGUCCUUUUGUGACCAUUUUGCAUUUUCUUGUGUCUUUUCUUUACCAAAAACGCGUAAAAAAUAUGAUACUUGAUCCGCAAAACACGAAAUCAAUAUUGGAGUCUCAGUUAGCUAUAAAAGUCCAGUAAUUCACUAACAAAAUAUGACUCUUUCAGACAUUACCAAAAUCAGAAUUGUGUUUGAAAACAUCACUAAACAUCACUCUCUAUUUGACGUUUUAAACUUCAGUUCAGUUCGUAUACAAAAAAAAAUUCAAUGUAAUUCAUAUCCAUAGCCGCCAAAUCUGACACUUGAGUCUUUUCAAGAAAACGUACUAUAUCUACUAGAUUUCAUACAUAUAACACUUUUGACAAAAAAAACAAAAUCAUUAUAAAUUUAUAAUUAGGUCAAUAUGAAAAAGCAGGGAUAGAAAUGAGAUUAAGUCAAUCCACAAUAAACUGUGUUCGUCGUUUAUGAUAAUUAGGUAUAACUGCCUUACAUUUAUUUUUAGAUAUGUCGAAACAAGUUUUAAGCCAGCUUUUUGGAAGAUAUAUAAAGAUAACUUCAGAAAUUAUCACUGAUUUAUCUUCUUCUGAUUCAUUAUCCACGUGUUUAACAAAGGCUCUGAUUUAAAUUUCUCCAAUAUAGAAAUCAAAAACUGUUUAAUGUUUAAAUUUCUAUGAACAUAAAAUGACAUAUGCUCAAUUCUUGAAUUGUGCUAGUUGCAUUAUGUCUUGUAGCAAGAGUGUGAUGUUAGAAUGAGAAGAGCCUCCUUUUUCCACAGCUUUGUGAGCUAAUUCUCCAAGCUCUUUGACUCUUCUUCUCCUCUCUUUUGCAUCAUCACUAUCACCCAUCAAUUCUUCCACAGCCUUUUUCACUCCUUCUUUAUCCACUAACACUCCUAUUUUAUCUUCUUCUCCCCAUUUCAUGACUUCUUCAACCCCGGCACUUACACCGGCUUUUAGUACUUGAACGACCAGUUUUUGGUUGCAGAAUUGGUCUCCAAACAGCGGCCAAGUGAUCAGUGGAAUGCCUGAGGUGAUUCCUUCGAGAGUCGAGUUCCAUCCACAGUGUGUCAGGAAUCCUCCAACGGAAGGAUGUGAAAGGAUAAGGACUUGAGGUGCCCACCCUUUAAUGAGAAGUCCUCUCUCUUUGAUUCUUUCUUCAAAACCGCUCUCCAACAUCCACUCAAAUAGUUCUUUAUACUUUUCCGAACCUCU
rnacentral:lncRNA from 1 species